UGCAAGUCGAACGAACUCUGGUAUUGAUUGGUGCUUGCAUCAUGAUUUACAUUUGAGUGAGUGGCGAACUGGUGAGUAACACGUGGGAAACCUGCCCAGAAGCGGGGGAUAACACCUGGAAACAGAUGCUAAUACCGCAUAACAGCUUGGACCGCAUGGUCCGAGUUUGAAAGAUGGCUUCGGCUAUCACUUUUGGAUGGUCCCGCGGCGUAUUAGCUAGAUGGUGGGGUAACGGCUCACCAUGGCAAUGAUACGUAGCCGACCUGAGAGGGUAAUCGGCCACAUUGGGACUGAGACACGGCCCAAACUCCUACGGGAGGCAGCAGUAGGGAAUCUUCCACAAUGGACGAAAGUCUGAUGGAGCAACGCCGCGUGAGUGAAGAAGGGUUUCGGCUCGUAAAACUCUGUUGUUAAAGAAGAACAUAUCUGAGAGUAACUGUUCAGGUAUUGACGGUAUUUAACCAGAAAGCCACGGCUAACUACGUGCCAGCAGCCGCGGUAAUACGUAGGUGGCAAGCGUUGUCCGGAUUUAUUGGGCGUAAAGCGAGCGCAGGCGGUUUUUUAAGUCUGAUGUGAAAGCCUUCGGCUCAACCGAAGAAGUGCAUCGGAAACUGGGAAACUUGAGUGCAGAAGAGGACAGUGGAACUCCAUGUGUAGCGGUGAAAUGCGUAGAUAUAUGGAAGAACACCAGUGGCGAAGGCGGCUGUCUGGUCUGUAACUGACGCUGAGGCUCGAAAGUAUGGGUAGCAAACAGGAUUAGAUACCCUGGUAGUCCAUACCGUAAACGAUGAAUGCUAAGUGUUGGAGGGUUUCCGCCCUUCAGUGCUGCAGCUAACGCAUUAAGCAUUCCGCCUGGGGAGUACGGCCGCAAGGCUGAAACUCAAAGGAAUUGACGGGGGCCCGCACAAGCGGUGGAGCAUGUGGUUUAAUUCGAAGCUACGCGAAGAACCUUACCAGGUCUUGACAUACUAUGCAAAUCUAAGAGAUUAGACGUUCCCUUCGGGGACAUGGAUACAGGUGGUGCAUGGUUGUCGUCAGCUCGUGUCGUGAGAUGUUGGGUUAAGUCCCGCAACGAGCGCAACCCUUAUUAUCAGUUGCCAGCAUUAAGUUGGGCACUCUGGUGAGACUGCCGGUGACAAACCGGAGGAAGGUGGGGAUGACGUCAAAUCAUCAUGCCCCUUAUGACCUGGGCUACACACGUGCUACAAUGGAUGGUACAACGAGUUGCGAACUCGCGAGAGUAAGCUAAUCUCUUAAAGCCAUUCUCAGUUCGGAUUGUAGGCUGCAACUCGCCUACAUGAAGUCGGAAUCGCUAGUAAUCGCGGAUCAGCAUGCCGCGGUGAAUACGUUCCCGGGCCUUGUACACACCGCCCGUCACACCAUGAGAGUUUGUAACACCCAAAGUCGGUGGGGUAACCUUUUAGGAACCAGCCGCCUAAG
rnacentral:rRNA from 1 species